AUGGAAACCCAGUGUUUCUCUGCAGAAAGGAGAAAGAAAUUAUUCAGUUCAGUUUAAAGGCUCAGGAGGAAGAGAACAAUUUUUAAUCCCUUUUUUCAGUGCAGGCUGGGGAAGAGGCAUGGUUCUGGAGUCCUGUGAUUGGUUCUGCCCAAGGGAUGUUGGUAAGCGGACCAUUCGUGUCAUCAGUGGGAGUGGUAGGUUACCCGCUCAACACCUUGGCUCCCAGGCCUUGACUAGCAGACUCCCAGAAGUUGUUUUCUGCUGUGCUGUUUCCUGUUUCCUGAGAGGACGUCCAGAAAGCAUCCCUGAUAUAGUGAGAAUACUGGGAUUUCUCUCCACCUGCCAUGUCCUUUGCCAAAUUAUUAAACGUGGAUAGUGGAGGUGACCAAGGCAGGCACAGAAAAGAAGACACACAGAGAAUGAUUUUUGUUUGGUUUGUUCUAGCAGGACCGCAGAGGUGUCCGGUCUUUGCAAUAAUCUGAACUUACUUGCAUGAUUGGUAGGUGGUAGGCCUGAAGGCCCAUGGAUAAGUGGUGCUAAACCAUUGUUAGAGCUUUCAGACUUAGCUUGCCUGCUUUUUUGUACUCCCCCAGUGGGGGGUAAAUUAGUUGAAUUUGGUUUUUAUCCUUGGAAAAUUGGCACCAACCGGCACCUCCUCUAAGCUUCAAAAAAUAAAGUUCCUUUCCAGAAUUUUCCAUCUGCUUAAAAGGCAAUGAGCAGACACCCUUCUGAGAGGCUAAUCUCAAUAAGAGGAGGUCCCACGACAUCAUUCCCCUGACAGAGGCAUUGUCUCAACAGCCCCAGAGACAAAUGUAGAUGAGAGAGGAUCUGAGGUAUUUCAUGACUCCUCUCUUGCUGGACCACUUGGAGUCUUCUAGAGAUAAGGAGGAAUAUCUAUUUUACGGUCUGCUUGAUCUUCAGCUUCUUUCAGCAGCGUUUGUUUAGAGCCUAGAGGUAAUAUACAUAGUCAUUGUAGAUAAACUCAUUGUGUAUUAACACUGAAGAUAAUAUCAGAUAUUCUCUAGUACAAACUCCCCUCUCCUGGGACAAGGUAGCUGGUCAAUUGGCCUCUUGUUGAACACCUCCAGAGGCUGUAUACUCCCUAUCUUGCAGCUCUCAUUCCAUUGUGGGGAAACUCUGGGCUAAAUCCUAGCUCCUUAUAACUUCUGUCCAAUCCUAGUUCUUGCCUUUAGAGGAACAAAAUGCAACCCUGGUGUAUCUUCCACGUGGCAGCUCUACAUAUAUUAGAAACAUCCUUUGUCUCCCUAAUUUUCACUUUUUCGAGUAAAAAAUCUCGUAUUUCUUCAGUACUUGUGUGAGAAACUUUCCAACCCUCUCAUUAUACUUGCUGCCUUCAUCUGCAUGAUUUCUCAUUGGCUCAUGUCCCUUUAAAGCAGGUACUCUGGUUCUGAGGAGAUCAGAGUUCAGUGGAGCUAAUAUUUGUGUAUGAUCUGGACAUUAUCAUCUUGCCAACUACUGUUAUCACAAAGCUACGCCUUCAUGGCUUUUUUGAGCCAACGCCCCUCUAACACUGAUGCCAAGUAAGUGUUUUAGAAAAAUCUCUUGUACUUGCAAAAAACAGAGAUAACCCCCCUCCCUCAAAAUCUAACACAAGUGAAAUGGAUACCUAUGAAGCAAUAAGGCCAGGGGGCCAUCCAUCCCUGAUCUCUAGGACAAGGUACUGUAAAUGCUGUCCUCACGAGGACUGUCCUGGGAUGGUGCUGGGCCAGGGUCCAGAGAGCUUGGUUCUGGCUCUUCUAGCAUUUACCCACUGAAAUGACUCAACUGAACUCUAAAUGCUGCUUCUUCCUUCUAACCAACCCUGACUUUCUCUGCUUCUUCAGCUCUCCCAGUGCCCAACUUUGUUUUCCAUGCAGGUCAAUUGGCAGAGGUUCUUGUGGUCCUGCCUUUCUCAUGAUCCUGCAGCUGCAGUUCCCAUGGCUAACUGGCAAAGCUUACCUUGCUUCUAGUCUGGAUUCCAGGCAAAGGGAAUCGGAUUGGCACAGUUCACAUUUUCCAGCCAGGUCACAGGUUGCUGGGAAACCUAAGCCUGGACUGCCUUGGUGUAGGUUCCUCCCUGUGAUGUGGUCAAGAUACAGAGGAGGGAGUCAUGCAGGAUUAAAUGGCUGCUUAGCUGUUGCCUGGUGUAAUGCAGACAGGCACUUUCAGAUAAGCAGGAUGACAGGUAGGUGAACAAACACACAGAAUAAAAAACCUUUUAUACCCCAUAAAAUAUACCAACUUUUCUUAUUUCUGGGGUGCUGUACCUUUCUACAUCUUUCUAGAAAUAUUGUGUUUAGUUCGUAGGGAUCAAAACAAAGGGAAGAAAUGAAAAAAGACUGUUUUGCAUUUAUUUUACUUUUGGGAGGAGCUGGGAGGCAGGAAAAUGUAAAAUAAUUUGCAUAAACUAACUUACAACUUAAUUUAUACUCAUCUCUGUACUUAGUAAUGAGGAGGUUUUAUGAUCUGAAGGAGCAAAUCCUUUAGGCAAACCAGCUGUUUGCAGUAUCUGUAUUCUGGCUAGCUAACAGCAUGUUUUUUGAUGAAUAAAUGAUAACAUUCAGUCUUUCAUAUGUAUCAUGCACAUGUCAUUGCACCCAAUCAUCCCAGCAGAAGGCACACUCAUUUUACUAAGA
rnacentral:lncRNA from 1 species